GUUUGUGGCUCAGUGGUAGAGUGCUUGCCUAGCUCAUAUGAGGCCCUGGGUUUGAUCCUCAGCAUCACA
rnacentral:tRNA from 1 species